AACGAACGCUGGCGGCAUGCCUAACACAUGCAAGUCGAACGAGACCUUCGGGUCUAGUGGCGCACGGGUGCGUAACGCGUGGGAAUCUGCCCUUCGGUUGGGAAUAACUGAGAGAACUUUCAGCUAAUACCUUAUAAUGUCUUCGGACCAAAGAUUUAUCGCCGAGGGAUGAGCCUGCGUAGGAUUAGGUAGUUGGUGGGGUAAUGGCCUACCAAGCCGACGAUCCUUAGCUGGUCUGAGAGGAUGAUCAGCCACACUGGGACUGAGACACGGCCCAGACUCCUACGGGAGGCAGCAGUGGGGAAUAUUGGACAAUGGGCGAAAGCCUGAUCCAGCAAUGCCGCGUGAGUGAUGAAGGCCUUAGGGUUGUAAAGCUCUUUUACCCGGGAUGAUAAUGACAGUACCGGGAGAAUAAGCUCCGGCUAACUCCGUGCCAGCCGCCGCCGUAA
rnacentral:rRNA from 1 species